rnacentral:rRNA from 1 species
AUUGAACGCUGGCGGCAGGCUUAACACAUGCAAGUCGAGCGGGGGAGGUUGCUUCGGUAACUGACCUAGCGGCGGACGGGUGAGUAAUGCUUAGGAAUCUGCCUAUUAGUGGGGGACAACAUUCCGAAAGGAAUGCUAAUACCGCAUACGCCCUACGGGGGAAAGCAGGGGAUCUUCGGACCUUGCGCUAAUAGAUGAGCCUAAGUCGGAUUAGCUUGUUGGUGAGGUAACGGCUCACCAAGGCGACGAUCCGUAGCUGGUCUGAGAGGACGAUCAGCCACACUGGGACUGAGACACGGCCCAGACUCCUACGGGAGGCAGCAGUGGGGAAUCUUGCACAAUGGGCGAAAGCCUGAUGCAGCGACGCCGCGUGCGGGAAGAAGGCCUUCGGGUUGUAAACCGCUUUCAGGAGGGACGAAGCCACUCGGGUUAACAGCCCAGAGGGUGACGGUACCUCCAGAAGAAGCCCCGGCUAACUACGUGCCAGCCGCCGCAGUAACAC